rnacentral:rRNA from 1 species
GCUCCUUCGGGAGUGAGUACAGCGGCGGACGGGUGAGUAACGCGUGAGAAUUUACCCUUUAGUGAAGAAUACCUUCGAGAAAUCGGAGUUAAUACUGCAUACGUCCCUUCGGGGAGAAAGAUGGCCUCUUUGCUAUCGCUGAAGGAUAAGCUUGCGUACUAUUAGUUUGUUGGUGAGGUAAAGGCUCACCAAGACGAUGAUGGUUAACCGGCCUGAGAGGGUGUACGGUCACACUGGAACUUAGACACGGUCCAGACUCCUACGGGAGGCAGCAGUGAGGAAUAUUGCGCAAUGGGCGAAAGCCUGACGCAGCGACGCCGCGUGGAGGAUGAAGGUUUUUGGAUCGUAAACUCCUGUUAAGUGGGAAGAAAGACUUGGCUCUAAUACAGUCAAGUUAUGACGUUACCACUAGAGAAAGCACCGGCUAACUUCGUGCCAGCAGCCGCGGUAAUACGAGGGGUGCUAGCGUUAUUCGGAAUUACUGGGCGUAAAGGGUGCGUAGACGGCGCAUUAAGUCUGUUGUUAAAUCCUCCGGCCUAACCGGAGAUCAGCGAUAGAAACUAGUGUGCUAGAGGAUGGAAGAGAGAAGU